CCCUUAGAUGUUCUGGGCCGCACGCGCGCUACACUGACGAAGUCAGCGAGCAUGUCCUACGCCGACAGGUGCGGGGAAUCUUGUCAAACUUCGUCGUGAUGGGGAUUGAUUAUUGAAAUUCUUGAUCAUCAACGAGGAAUUCCUAGUAAGCGCAAGUCAGCAGCUUGCGUUGAUUACGUCCCUGCCCUUUGUACACGCCGCCCGUCGCUACUACCGAUUGAAUGGUUUAGUGAGAUCUUCGGAUUGGCGCCACUGCGGCUCAGCAAUGGGCUCGGUGGAUGCCGAAAAGUUGAUCAAACUUGAUCAUUUAGAGGAAGUAAAAGUCGUAACA
rnacentral:rRNA from 1 species